AAGCCCAAACCCCAAAUAUUGCCACAAGCAGUCCUACAGCACCAUCUGACAGCACGAGGGUCAGCUCAGCUCUCUGUCCUGGCUGGGAGCAGCAGGGUCCAACAGGACCAGGUAAGUUCCUCGAGCAUCCCGGCUUUCUCCAGAGCAGGCGAGAGCACAGAUCACUGAGCUGCUGAUGUGCCUGGGAAUCGAUCCCUCCGACAGCAUGCCAAUCUCUGUGGGGUACCUAGGCAGGCUUUUAGAGGUUAGUGGGGAAGGAAUUAUUCAGACCACCCAUCUUAGCUGGCUAAAUUACCCGGGUAGUCUCUUCUAAGUCCUUUUCCAGUCACGGAUGAGAGAGAGGACAAUUCAGAGUAAGGCUCAUUUGGGUGUACUGAAUGACCCUCUGCAGGAGCUUUGCUUUCCCUCCCUCGACUACAGAGGGAGCCUGGGGAGACCAGCUGGUUACAUUUAACUGCUAAAUUGGUUGCCAAAAGAUGGGUGGUGAGAAUUCCUUCCAGUUUCCCCUUUGCCAUGGACCACACUCUUCCCACAGCAGGAUGCUCGCUUGCUCUCUCCUGCAAAUUUGGAGAUUGCUCAGUGCAAUGGGAUACACACCCCCAGGAGCCACUGCAAGACAAAGGCUGUAUCACAUCUCUUGGCAGACAGCUUACAAGAGAAAUGAGCAAAACUGACCACAGAAAGAGGGUGAGCGGCCAAGAAAGAAAACAAAAGCCUAUCCUGGAAAAUAUAUUGCAUCAAAGAAUUAUCUGAAGCGCACUGCGGCCGGCGGGAGGAGCGCGUACAGUUUAAUGGAGAUGCAACAACUUUUACACGCCGCCGCCUCUGGCAGCUUUGUGCCAGGGAGGGAAAAGGGGAGCUGGAAUUAUUCACAUCAAAGCAGCAAGAGUGGCACACCAGGGCAGUGGGGUGAUGGUGGAGAUCCUUCCCUGGGGAGCUGGGCUGGGCUGUGCCCGUGGCUUGUGCUCAGCCAGUGAGACUCACAGCGUGGGGCCGCUCCUGAGGCAAGGAGAGAGCAACAGCAGGGCUGGAAGGGGUGCAGGGAUGGGCAGCUGGAAUUAAUGCAGUGAGGAAAUGGCAAUAUUGGGUGCAAACCUGCAAGAAUCAGGCGGUUUUCAUUCCCCAGGUCAUGAGGCAGCUGGUUUGCAUGGAGGCAAAAUCCUAACAAAGUGACAAGUGGCAGGGAGCCAUUUGUUCAUUGUCAUUUCUUGGACAAUUAUGGAAGAUGAGGACAGUUUUUCCCGGCCUAAGGCAAAACGCCUCUGCAAGUGUGGCUUGUGUUUCCCAGAGGUGUCCUGAGAGCACGGCCUGGCUGCACCAGUGCCACCAGAGCUGCUGUAUCCACCUGCUGAGAACCAGGGUCCAGGCAUUCCCACUGCCUGUUCUGGGCCUGGAAAAAGGCUUCCUGGAAAAUAAACCCUUGGCAGCAGGCGAGGCCAGGAGGGCUGGUGAGCCUGCAAAUAACCUCUGCUUCUGCAGUGGGAGGAGAUGCAGUCUGGGGUGGGAUAUCCUGCUUUGAGGAACUGUCUUCUCUUUCAUUUUCCCACUUCUGUCAUCCUUUACUCCCACCACUUUUUAAAUUUAUUUUUCAUUCAAGGCCUUUUUUUCCUGGUGUGUUGUUCUCAUUCAAGAACAUCUGGAAAAGAUACUCAAAGAGUUAUCUGUUUCCUCAGUUCCUCAAUUUUUGCAUGUGUGUAUGUAUUCCCUUUAACCUCUGAAAAUUCUGUAAAAAUGGAAGGAAGAAAAAAUAAGUAACUGAAGACAAGGCAAAAUCAGGAAAUUUAAAAAAAUCCUGAAAUUAAAUGGAGCAGUCAUGUCAAAUUUUUACUAAAGCAGCAGGACAUUAAAAUGGCAUAGAAAGUUCUCGUUUCCUUCUGUAAUUGUUUGAAAGAGUUUUAAAAGGCCAUAUUUUUUACUAUUCUUGCUAGAUUUCACAUGGUAAAACUCUUCCUGGUCUGUUGGGGUCCACUCAGGCUAGCUAUGGACCCUUGCCCACAUGGUAAUCCAUAGAUGAAGGUAAAAGAUUGAGAAGCACUCUCCUCCACAUGGGAAAUGUUCUUUAUUCCACAACACACACCAACGGGACAAACCCAUGGGAGGAAAGAGGGCGUUCCCUCGUGGCAAGGAGCUUUUAUACCCCCCAGGAUGGUGAUGGAGAGGUCCACAGCCAAUGGGACACCAGUGAGGAGUGGUGAGGGGAGGGGUAACCCAGGGGAGAGACCACCAGGGGGUACCGGCACAGCUGAGGGAAAGACCAUGUGAUGGGGAAAUGGGGUAACAAACCACAUGAUAUAACAUAAGUUAUACAGUGCAAUAUAAAACUAUUCUGUGCAAAUUCCCAAUCACCCAGUGCAAGAGAACAACUAAAACUAAUGCACCACAACAUUGUGCCAUUAGAGACCAAUACCUCCCAGUGAUGCUGUGUUUCUGGGUUGACCAGUUUGGCUUUGGUUUUCUCCAGAGAAGAGUGCAAUUUGGUAUGGCUGAUGUUCUGUAUCCACAGUUUUUCAGGUUUUUCAGGAAAAACUGAAAGGUUGCUGUGCCCAAGGACAGAAGAGUUAAGAGAUUCUCCCACUCACAACUGGGACUUACUUUGAGAAGAAAACCUUGCCUGUGACAGUGACUCAUUGUGUGAAUCCCACUGCUUCUUUGUAGUUGACAGCUGGAAAAAAAUGGAGAAAAAUAAGAGAGAAAGACCUGAACUCUGAGUGUGGGGAACGACAGGGGCCUGGAGACCUCAAGAACCACCAAGAGCCAGAGGUUGACAACCACCAAAUACCUCUGUAGCAAGAAGAUAUGUAAAACUUUAAUUGACUUAAUGGAGCUGAAAAAUGCUCAAAAUAGUAUUUCAUGUGCAUAACUGGGCAUUCAAGUGAUAGACUGUGAUCUCUGGUGGACUUUGAUGUCAUCUGAAGCUCUUUGGUUGGUCAACUCACUUUUGAACCUGGGCAGCCCUGCCUGCUGCUGCCAUUGGUGUUCCCUGUGCUGUGAGGGGUCUGGAGACCCUCAAAAUGUCUGUGCUUUUGACCAGAGACUUCUAAUGCAGAUUUUCAUGUUAAAGCCUUUCACAUAAGGUGUCUCCCACAGUCCUUCUAAAUAAAAAAAAAAUCUCAGCUAGCAGCAGGUGAAACUUUAUCUCUUGUUUUUGAUAUUUAUUUAUAAUUUUGGGUACCUUUGGAUGUUGUCCUCAUUUCUGGAUCUGUCAGUUUUAGUGGUUAAGGUUGUCAGUAUAUUGUGUCUCAGCCAUAGCCUGACCUUUGGGGCUGGUGUUAGUUCUCUUAUUUUCAACACACAUGGUGUGUGGGUGCCUCUGCCUCCCUCCAGGCUGUGCUGCUCUCUGCUAGUCUCCUUCUGCUGCAUGUGGGCUUCUCAGAGGUGUCAAGUCACCUAAAAUUUAACUAAAGGAGCCAGGAACAGGGGAUGGAAGGGUUCAAGCGUGCCCUUUGCCUUUAUAAAAUGGGAAAUAGGGUUUGGGAUCAAGCUGGUAGCUUAUUUGCUAUCAGGAUCUGGGCACAGAUUUGUAGGAAAUGGGUUUUGCUUAUUCUUGUGUGCACGGGCAGAGGUUCUUUUUCAACAGUUCCUUUGGUAAUUGUUUCACCCUUCUAGUAACACCAGCACUGUGUGGAGGCACAUGGGUGUUCCCAUCCUUUCCUGUGUACCUUCUGGUUGUUUUAAACCUGCUGGCCAGUUUAAAAUGCAUCUGUUAGCACAGUGAGGAUGUCAGAGAUACAUCAGCCCCACGUUUAAUAAAAAUCUGUGUCCUAGAAGAAAAGAGAGGCACAAAAUAGGCCCCCUCCAAGGGAAAGGCUCCAGGAUUGCAGUUUGCUGGUGAAUUUCCCAUGCAAAUACCCCAGCUCAGGCAGCCCCCAGGUCCCCAUAAGACAAACAUCUGCAGGAGGCUGAAUGUUAACCCUUCCAAUGCACCACAGCAGGUUUUCUCUACUUCCUCCCUGCUCCUUUUCAUCUCCCUUCUCUCCCACAAAGACAGUCACUGGCUUUACCUUGCCAGAUCAUGUUUAGAGAUGCUUAGAGGACAUCUGGGGGAUGUGCUAGAGCUCAGGGCUGCACCUAAGGCAGGCAUCUCCUGGCUUCUUUGCUCUAGAAAGCAGGUCAGCCUACCCAGGAGACCUGUCUUGGGAGGAAUCACUCAUCCUCCAGGGCUUCCCAUUUCUACACUGACUCCAUAGCAACCUGCAGCAGAUCACAGACCAGUUUUUCUGACAAUCAAACCCUUGAGUUUAAUUUUAAUACUGCCUCUAACUUUGGUAGUUAGAUCCCGAGGCCUGCUCCCAGCAGAUGUUUUUCCAGGUGAACAAGGAGGGCUAUUCUGUUCCACUGCAAACCCUGAGCUGCCUGGUGAGGUGCUGCAAUCAAGGAGCCCAGAGUGACUGUGCCACCCUUGCCAUGGUCACCCCAUGUUUCCAUCUGGGAAGGGAGCUCCCACACACAGGAAUCUGAGAGAGAUACACACACACAUGCACACAUGGGUACCCAGGUGUAUUUUUAGCUCUGCUGCCAGCCCUUCAGAGUGAGAUAUGACAUGGCUGAGAGGGAUUUGGUCCAGACUUGUGUCUCUGCCACAAAGCCAGGCUGUGAAUCAGUGCUGGGCAGGCUCUUCCAUCCUCAGCUUGUCCUUAGAUGGGGACAGAGCAGCUGCAGGAGCUGCAGCAUGCUGUUCUGAAAAUUCUUUCUUCUCGCAGACCCUUGUAUUACCCCAAAGGAAUCUGAGCAGAUUGUCAGGGGAGGAUGUUACAGUGCAGAAUCCCAGAACUGUGAAAGGAUUUAAUCCAAACAUUUGAAGGACUCAGCCAGUUGGAUCCGGAGGAGGGACAUUGGUGCAAAGGCCUUGCUGGAUCUCUGAUGCUCAGAAAUCUUCCUAACAAUCCCUAUGUCAUGAGUGGUUUAGUGAGGAACUAUAUAAAAAUACCAAAAGUAUGUUAUGCAAUAAGGUGUUUGGGGUCACAGAGGAGACCUUGCAAAUCUAGCCAUGAGGCAUUUGCAUGUAAAAACCCUCAAAAUUAAAAAAAAUAAAUAAAUUGUAGCUUCUUUCAGCUGCAACCUAAACUUUGUGCUAAGUUAAAUCUCCCCCGCCCUGUGCUGAUCCCUGUAGCCCCUCCAGGGUUUUCAAUGCAUCUAACAAUGAAAGUGAAAUCCAAUCCCAUCCAAUUAGAGGAAAAUGAAUGGCUCAUCUACAAUAAAUGGGCUCUGAAUAACAAUAAGCCAACAAGAGAGCAAUGAACUGGAGACAGAGUACAAUCUUCCUGAAUGUUAAUCGACAACUAACUCCACAAGCUUCUUAGAGGUGGAAAGAAUUGGAGGAAAAUAGAUUAGGGAGGCUUUAGAGCACAUUGCCUUUUAACUGCUUAGGCCUCACAUUUUUACCUAAAUACAAGAAUGUUUCUAAUGCUGCCUUUUGCAGGGUGAAGGGUGUGUGUGUGUGUGUGUGAUGGGGUUUGUUCUCAAAGUUAAAUGUUUUCAAUUAAUUUAUAAUUUGACAUGGUAGGUCCUACUGUAUUGUUUAAUUGUUUCACUUAUUCAGAAGGUCAUUUUUAAAAUGGCAAAGUAAAAUGGCAGAAGCCUUGGAAAAUGCUUUCUGUAGAUCUGAGGAAUGGAGCUGAAUGAAUCCAGGAGUUAGCCUGAGACUGAAAAGAGGUGAAGGGAUAAGGAAAACCCUAGAGUUUGGUGGUUGAAGUGCUUUCUGUAUCCACAACUCCCCAGUGCUGCUCCUUGGUCCCCCCUAGACACCUUUUCACCCUGUCAGGGUCUGAAACACCUGCAGAGCAGCUCAGCUGCUGCUUUCCGCCGCCCUCAGCUCCACAAGUACUUUUUGUAAAGACAGGGAAGAUGCCAGGUGUCCUGAUCUGUCACUAAGAAGCUCCCAUAGCCAUGCAGGCUCCAUAUCCAAGUCAAGGCCUCACCCAGCUGAGCUGUGUUGCCCAUCCUCUCUGCUCAGCCUAUUAAAUCCCCUCUGGGGAUUUAAUAAAAUCCUAUUAAAUAACCUCUGGGUUUUUAUUGCCUCCAGACAGGCUGAGAGCUUAUUUAGCUUGCCCAGCACUACCAUCCCCUCCUGCUUGCCCUCAUCCACAGGAGCCAAAUAAAAGGCCACGGAGACCAGGUCAGAGAAGACUCACCCUCAGUGCAGGCUGGGCAGCCAGCUCAGUUAUGGGGUAGAGGGUUGAUCCACUGUUCCCCAAUGCAAAGCUCCCCAGAACUGGUGCUGCCACAAAAGAUGGUGUGGAGAGUUCCAGGCGGAAAACAGAAUGGAAUAACUUUUAAGAACCAGCUCCUCUUGCUCCUGUGACUGUAACACCACCUCCAAAGCACUGUGGCCCAAGGGCUGAUGUCCAUUUUCUUUUGGCACUGGGCUGCUCCUCCCAUGAGGAUCUGCACCAGGAGCUCAGAGGAGGCUCCUGCCCCUGCUUCACACAAUGGGCAGCUGAGAUGCCCAAUGGACAGACAACCUUCUCUCAGCCUGGAGUGCUUCCCCACUGGUGACUUCAACACCAGCCCUGGGGUAAGGUUGGCUGUGGCUUGGAGGCUUAGAGCUGUCCCCAUCUCCCUGUGACCUCUGGGUGGCAGCUUGGCCUGCAGCAUGCUGGCUGUGAUGUUGGCAGAAAAGCACUUAGCACUCGCUUACAGCAUAAAGCUUAGCCUUGCUGGGAUACAGAGAGAGCUCUCUGCUGAGAUCUGUGCUCGUGGGAUUGACGUUUCCUGUCAUAUUUGUAUUCCCAACCUGUUGAAGGGGCUGAUGCCCAGAGCAGAGAGUAAGGCCAGCAUUGCCCUGGCACUCUCACAGGCUCUGCUCCCCCUGGAACAAAGCUCUGUUUGAGACUGCUUGGGCGGCCCAUGGCUCCCUGUGGGGAUCUUGUCCAUUUCAGAGAAAAAUCUGGCAAAUUUUUGCCUUUUAUGUCUUGACAUUUGUGACUGUUCCCACGUUGGGAGGGGUAAGUCAGGGACAGAAUGAGUCAGGUCCUGCAGCUCCCAGCAUAGUGCUAAGGCCAGACACCUUUCUCUUUAUGGGUGUUGCAUAAUUUGUGGAUUAAUAAUUAAUAACAAACUCCUCCUAUGUGAACCUGCUUUUGCUUUCCUCUGUUGUUGACUGGGAAAUCAAGCUGGGUGAAAAAGCAUUAUAAAUAAGGUAACAAUUGUGCUUGGGUAGCUCUUGGAAGAGAUGGAUGCUCAGAUAAUUUUUCUAAUACUGUCAUGAACGCUUUUACUGACACCAGGAAUAUCAGUAGACUGAAAGGGAGUGCUUACUGAGAAGCAUAUUUCUUGCUAUGUAAUACUUAGAAAAGGGUCUGUUUUAGAACAACACUGGUCUGGAUGGAGGCUUUCUGCACUGAAAUGAGUUGUACACAUGGAAACAAAAGGGGCCUUAUGAGGGUGGGAGAUACUGCUCUACCAUGAGAGCAGUUGUAUCUGCCAUGGCAUCUAUGCCCAGGAAAGGGUAGGGUUUAACAUUUCUCACUUGAGUUACCCCUCUGAAAAAAUGGAAGCAAAUUUCUGUCUCUGAUUC